CAGCAGCCGCGGGAAAACGAAGGGGGCUAGCGUUGCUCGGAAUGACUGGGCGUAAAGGGCGCGUAGGCGGCGAUCAAAGUCAGGCGUGAAAUUCCUGGGCUCAACCUGGGGGCUGCGCUUGAUACUUGGUUGCUUGAGUGGGGAAGAGGGUCGUGGAAUUCCCAGUGUAGAGGUGAAAUUCGUAGAUAUUGGGAAGAACACCGGUGGCGAAGGCGGCGACCUGGUCCUUGACUGACGCUGAGGCGCGAAAGCGUGGGGAGCAAACAGGAUUAGAUACCCCUGUAGUCCCUGUCUCUUAUAC
rnacentral:rRNA from 1 species